rnacentral:piRNA from 1 species
UUGUCUAUGGAGAUGAUGAGGUUACUUUG